rnacentral:rRNA from 1 species
AUUGAACGCUGGCGGCAUGCCUUACACAUGCAAGUCGAACGCGAAAGCGGAGCAAUCCGCAAGUAGAGUGGCGAACGGGUGAGUAAUACAUCGGAACAUUUCCAGUAGCGGGGGAUAACCUGUCGAAAGAUAGGCUAAUACCGCAUACGCCCCACGGGGGAAAGCGGAGGACCACAAGGCUUCGCACUAUUGGAGUGGCC